CCUACGGGCGGCUGCAGUGGGGAAUAUUGGGCAAUGGGCGCAAGCCUGACCCAGCAACGCCGCGUGAAGGAAGAAGGCUUUCGGGUUGUAAACUUCUUUUAAGAGGGAAGAGCAGAAGACGGUACCUCUUGAAUAAGCCACGGCUAACUACGUGCCAGCAGCCGCGGUAAUACGUAGGUGGCAAGCGUUAUCCGGAUUUACUGGGUGUAAAGGGCGUGUAGGCGGGAGAGCAAGUCAGAUGUGAAAUUCCAGGGCUCAACCCUGGAACUGCAUUUGAAACUGUUUUUCUUGAGUGAUGGAGAGGCAGGCGGAAUUCCGUGUGUAGCGGUGAAAUGCGUAGAUAUACGGAGGAACACCAGUGGCGAAGGCGGCCUGCUGGACAUUAACUGACGCUGAGGCGCGAAAGCGUGGGGAGCAAACAGGAUUAGAUACCCUUGUAGUC
rnacentral:rRNA from 1 species